CGCGAGUCCGGGGUCGCCGCAGCCCGGGAGGAGUGUCUGGUCUCCGGCCUGCCUGUGCUGUCCCCGCGCCCUGUCCACUGGACUCCCGAGACCCUUGGAACCCAGGACACCAUUGGAGAAACUGGGCAUUUUACCAAGGAUUUGACUGGAAUGGCAUGCUUCCUUUAAAGAUGAAAGUUGACUUUUAGAGCCAAUUAAAGCCCUUUGGGGAAUCUGGCCUCAUACCUUGUCCACACAGAGUUCCUGUACAAGGUUCCUGACCUGUGGCUUCGCCAAAGGGAUCUGUGACCCAGGGUAACUGUGCUUUAGGAAAAGGAAGUAAUCAGAGGUUUCAUGGACUGCUAGACACCGGCUCUGUGCUGACAUUGAUUC
rnacentral:lncRNA from 1 species